GACGAACGCUGGCGGCGUGCCUAAUACAUGCAAGUUGAGCGAUGAAGCUUGGUGCUUGCCCCAAUUUGAAGAGCAGCGAACGGGUGAGUAACGCGUGGGGAAUCUGCCUUUGAGCGGGGGACAACAUUUGGAAACGAAUGCUAAUACCGCAUAACAACUUUAAACAUAAGUUUUAAGUUUGAAAGAUGCAAUUGCAUCACUCAAAGAUGAUCCCGCGUUGUAUUAGCUAGUUGGUGAGGUAAAGGCUCACCAAGGCGAUGAUACAUAGCCGACCUGAGAGGGUGAUCGGCCACAUUGGGACUGAGACACGGCCCAAACUCCUACGGGAGGCAGCAGUAGGGAAUCUUCGGCAAGGGACGAAAGUCUGACCGAGCAACGCCGCGUGAGUGAAGAAGGGUGUCGGAUCGUAAAACUCGGUUGGUAGAGAAGAACGUUGGUGAGAGUGGAAAGCUCAUCAAGUGACGGUAACUACCCAGAAAGGGACGGCUAACUACGUG
rnacentral:rRNA from 1 species